UACGGAGGGUGCAAGCGUUAAUCGGAAUUACUGGGCGUAAAGCGUACGCAGGCGGUCAAGUAAGUCAGAUGUGAAAUCCCCGGGCUUAACUUGGGAAUUGCAUCUGAAACUGGUUGGCUAGAGUGCUGUAGAGGGGGGUAGAAUUCCAUGUGUAGCGGUGAAAUGCGUAGAUAUGUGGAGGAAUACCGAUGGCGAAGGCGGUCCCCUGGGCAAAGACUGACGCUCAGGUGCGAAAGCGUGGGGAGCAAACAGG
rnacentral:rRNA from 1 species